GAUGAACGCUAGCGGGAGGCCUAACACAUGCAAGCCGAGCGGUAUAAUUCUUUCGGGAAUUAGAGAGCGGCGCACGGGUGCGGAACACGUGUGCAACCUGCCUUUAUCUGGGGGAUAGCCUUCCGAAAGGGAGAUUAAUACCCCAUAAUAUAUUGACUGGCAUCAGUUAAUAUUGAAAACUCCGGUGGAUAGAGAUGGGCACGCGCAAGAUUAGAUAGUUGGCGAGGUAACGGCUCACCAAGUCAGUGAUCUUUAGGGGGCCUGAGAGGGUGAUCCCCCACACUGGUACUGAGACACGGACCAGACUCCUACGGGAGGCAGCAGUGAGGAAUAUUGGACAAUGGGUGAGAGCCUGAUCCAGCCAUCCCGCGUGAAGGACGACGGCCCUAUGGGUUGUAAACUUCUUUUGUACAGGGAUAAACCUAGAUACGUGUAUCUAGCUGAAGGUACUGUACGAAUAAGCACCGGCUAACUCCGUGCCAGCAGCCGCCGUAACAC
rnacentral:rRNA from 1 species